rnacentral:rRNA from 1 species
UGCGUAACACGUAGGAAUCUGCCCGGUAGUGGGGGAUAGCCCGGAGAAAUCCGGAUUAAUACCGCAUACGCCUCAAGAGGGAAAGCAGGGGAUCUUCGGACCUUGCGCUAUCGGAUGAGCCUGCGUCGGAUUAGCUGGUUGGUGGGGUAAAGGCCUACCAAGGCGGCGAUCCGUAGCUGGUCUGAGAGGAUGAUCAGCCACACUGGGACUGAGACACGGCCCAGACUCCUACGGGAGGCAGCAGUGGGGAAUAUUGCACAAUGGGCGCAAGCCUGAUGCAGCCAUGCCGCGUGUGUGAAGGAGGCCCUAGGGUUGUAAAGCACUUUCAGCGAGGAGGAAAGGGUGUAGGUUAAUACCCUGCAUCUGUGACGUUACUCGCAGAAGAAGCACCGGCUAACUCCGUGCCAGCAGCCGCGGUAAUACGGAGGGUGCGAGCGUUAAUCGGAAUUACUGGGCGUAAAGCGUGCGUAGGCGGCCUGUUAAGUUGGAUGUGAAAGCCCCGGGCUUAACCUGGGAACGGCAUCCAAAGCUGGCAGGCUGGAGUGCGGAA